rnacentral:rRNA from 1 species
UAACCUGCCCAAGAGAUCGGGAUAACACCUGGAAACAGAUGCUAAUACCGGAUAACAACAGAUGAUGCCUAUCAACUGUUUAAAAGAUGGUUCUGCUAUCACUCUUGGAUGGACCUGCGGUGCAUUAGCUAGUUGGUAGGGUAACGGCCUACCAAGGCAUGAUGCAUAGCCGAGUUGAGAGACUGAUCGGCCACAUUGGGACUGAGACACGGCCCAAACUCCUACGGGAGGCAGCAGGC